rnacentral:misc_RNA from 1 species
AACUUUUGGCAACGGAUCACUUGGUUCUGGCAUCGAUGAAAAACGCAGCGAAAUGCGAUAAGUAUUGCGAAUUGCAGAAUUCAGUGAGUCAUCGAAUUUUUGAACGCACAUUGCGCCCUUUGGUAUUCCGAAGGGCAUGCCUGUUCGAGCGUCAUUAUCAACCCUCAAGCUUGGCUUGUCAUUGGACCUCGUCGUUGAAGACGGGUCUGAAAGAUAACGACGGUGUCGUGUCUGACCCUAGAUGCAAUGAGCUUUUUAGCACGCAUGAUAGUGGUCGGCCGGCCUGGUCUUAAUCAUCUAUUUCUCACGGUUGACCUCGGAUCAGAUAGGAAUACCCGCUGAACUUAAGCAUAUCAAUAAGCGGAGGCU